UACGGGGGGGGCAAGCGUUGUUCGGAAUUACUGGGCGUAAAGGGCCAGUAGGCGGCCAACUAAGUCGGAUGUGAAAUCCCCAGGCUUAACCUGGGAACUGCAUCCGAUACUGGAUGGCUUGAAUUCGGGAGAGGGAUGCGGAAUUCCAGGUGUAGCGGUGAAAUGCGUAGAUAUCUGGAGGAACACCGGUGGCGAAGGCGGCAUCCUGGACCAACACUGACGCUGAGGAGCGAAAGCCAGGGGAGCAAACGGG
rnacentral:rRNA from 1 species